AAAAAAAAACGAAAAAAAAUCUAUGGCUGCAAAAUCAUG
rnacentral:sRNA from 1 species